UACGAAGGGGGCUAGCGUUGCUCGGAAUCACUGGGCGUAAAGCGCACGUAGGCGGAUUGCUAAGUCAGGGGUGAAAUCCCGGGGCUCAACCUCGGAACUGCCUUUGAUACUGCGAAUCUUGAGUCCGAUAGAGGUGGGUGGAAUUCCUAGUGUAGAGGUGAAAUUCGUAGAUAUUAGGAAGAACACCAGUGGCGAAGGCGGCCCACUGGAUCGGUACUGACGCUGAGGUGCGAAAGCGUGGGGAGCAAACAGG
rnacentral:rRNA from 1 species